AUUGAACGCUGGCGGCAUGCCUUACACAUGCAAGUCGAACGGUAACAGGUCUUCGGAUGCUGACGAGUGGCGAACGGGUGAGUAAUACAUCGGAACGUGCCCGAGAGUGGGGGAUAACGAAGCGAAAGCUUUGCUAAUACCGCAUACGAUCUCAGGAUGAAAGCAGGGGACCGCAAGGCCUUGCGCUCACGGAGCGGCCGAUGGCAGAUUAGGUAGUUGGUGGGAUAAAAGCUUACCAAGCCGACGAUCUGUAGCUGGUCUGAGAGGACGACCAGCCACACUGGGACUGAGACACGGCCCAGACUCCUACGGGAGGCAGCAGUGGGGAAUUUUGGACAAUGGGCGAAAGCCUGAUCCAGCCAUGCCGCGUGCAGGAUGAAGGCCUUCGGGUUGUAAACUGCUUUUGUACGGAACGAAAAGGCUCUGGUUAAUACCUGGAGUCCAUGACGGUACCGUAAGAAUAAGCACCGGCUAACUACGUGCCAGCCGCCGCAGUAAUAC
rnacentral:rRNA from 1 species